CGGCGAGUAGCGCAGCCUGGUAGCGCAACACGUUCGGGACGUGUGGGUCGGAGGUUCGAAUCCUCUCGCCGACCA
rnacentral:tRNA from 1 species